AAGAAAUUGUCUUCCAUUCAUGUAUUAGAUGUCCCCAAAAAAUGGCAAGGAAAGUUGUCUUCCAUUCAAAUAUUAGAUGUCCCCAGAAGAGGUUAUAGAAACAAAACUGAAGAAUGAGAAAGUGGCAAGAAGUAUAUUUGGUUUCUAACGUUAAAAGUUUGUAUAUGUGUGUGUUGGCGAGUAUUUAAUAUACCUGACAUGCAGAAACUAUGAUAUAUGAAUCUCUAUUUAUUUUCCACUUAACAUCAAAAUCUUUCAUUUGGACCAGCACCAGGUAAUCCUUUUUGGUUUUGCACUGGGUGGGGCAAGAGGUGGAG
rnacentral:lncRNA from 1 species